GUAACCGCUUGAGUUUCUGCUGAAGUGCUGGCGUGGGCAUUCUCUCAACUUCUCCCGGCAACUGCUGUACCUAGCCUGUCCGUUUUACUGCUGUUGCCCUUGCUGCUGUCGGCGUAGGCGAUGUGCCUCGCCCAUCGGGUAGCCUGGAUCAACAUAUGUAGGGCCGACGGCCCUUGACGCGCUGCUGUUUUUGUUCUGCCGACAAUUAUUGUGGACGAGUGCGUGCGUGUGGAGAGUGUGUUAAGUGACGCGCAGUGCGCGCUUGGAACUCUCGUGUGGAGAGAGUGUUUGGUGACGCGCGUGGUUGCGCGCUGAUACUCAGUCGAGUGUGUGUGAAUGCGAUG